AAAAUCCACAAAAUUCAUCACCACUAAAAAGAUUCACAACAAUGGAUUAAACAACAAACUUUUCUAGAAAUUUGAGAAAGUAGAGGCUCAGAUUCAUCAUUGAUCUAUUAGAUAGUGAGAUAAGUCUUCUUGUCCUCCCCUGCCACAACAAAAUUGGCUGCAGCGGUUGCUUUCCAAUAUGUAAGCCAUCCAAGCUACCGCUGAUCGGCAGCAGCUCUAUGAGGUAAUCGU
rnacentral:misc_RNA from 1 species